CCUACGGGUGGCAGCAGUGAGGAAUAUUGGUCAAUGGACGAGAGUCUGAACCAGCAAAGUCGCGUGAAGGAUGACUGCCCUCUGGGUUGUAAACUUCUUUUAUAUGGGAAUAAAAUGUUACACGUGUGGGGUUUUGUAUGUACCAUAUGAAUAAGGAUCGGCUAACUCGAUGCCAGCAGCCGCGGUAAUACGGCGGAUCCGAUCGUUAUCCGGAUGUAUUGGGUUUAAAGGGAGCGUAGGUGGAUAGUUAAGUCAGUUGUGAAAGUCUUGGGCUCAACCGUGAAAUUGCAGUUGAAACUGGCAGUCGUGAGUACAGUAGAGGUGGGCGGAAUUCGUGGUGUAGCGGUGAAAUGCGUAGAUAUCACGAAGAACUCCGAUUGCGAAGGCAGUUCACUGGACUGCAACUGACACUGAGGCUCGAAAGUGUGGGUAUCAAACAGGAUUAGAUACCCCGGUAGUC
rnacentral:rRNA from 1 species